rnacentral:rRNA from 1 species
GACGAACGCUGGCGGCGUGCUUAACACAUGCAAGUCGAACGGAAAGGCCCCUUUGGGGGUACUCGAGUGGCGAACGGGUGAGUAACACGUGAGUAACCUGCCCUUGACUUCGGGAUAACUUCAGGAAACUGGGGCUAAUACCGGAUAGGAAUCCUUGCUGCAUGGUGGGGGUUGGAAAGCUUCGGCGGGUUUGGAUGGACUCGCGGCUUAUCAGCUUGUUGGUGGGGUAGUGGCUUACCAAGGCUUUGACGGGUAGCCGGCCUGAGAGGGCGACCGGCCACAUUGGGACUGAGAUACGGCCCAGACUCCUACGGGAGGCAGCAGUGGGGAAUAUUGCACAAUGGGCGGAAGCCUGAUGCAGCAACGCUGCGUGCGGGAUGACGGCCUUCGGGUUGUAAACCGCUUUCAGCAGGGGCGAAGCUUGUGGUGACGGUACCUGCAGAAGAAGCACCGGCUAACUACGUG